AAUCCGUUAUUUCUUGCUUGCGACAUUCAACUGGCAACAUGAAAAUGCUUCUGGCAAUCUGCGUUCUGAUUCUAGGCGUUUCCUUGGCCUACGGGGAUUCGUGUACUGGUACGGCUGGUGAGACGUGUUACCUGCAGCCGGAUGCAGUCUGCUUGAAUGUGAUGUGUCAUAAUGAAGAUGGAUUGUCGGAUUGCUUUGGGAAGUGGACGUAUGGCGGGGAGGAAGUGGCGUGCUACGCCAAAUAGCUCUUCGUUGACGACAUGAUGCGUCAAAUAACUAACUCUGGAGUUAGUCACGAAAUGAUAUACCACAUAACCAUCGCUUAAUUUAUAACAUGAUGCGUCAAAUAAUAUAUGACCAGUCUGAAGGAACGUAAAUGUUAAUAACACACACACGGGGGAUAUUAAAAAUGAUUGGAAAUGAA